AGUGCUGAAAGAGAUACCAAAACAGGCAAAACCACAGUUUGCAAACAUCAGGGAGACUGGAGGUACUAGUGACUCAGAGUGGCUUAUAAAAUAUGAAGAACAACAUGCAAAGUCUCACAGAGAAUAAACAAUAUUAUUUCCUGACAAAACUGCAUACUGACAAUUAUUGAGCAACAACAUGGCAUGCAGAAGAUAUAGAAAUCCUAAAAAUGGAGCUGACGUGAUUGUGAGACUCCCACACAAACCAAGAGUACAAGAGAUUCACAGGAAAUCAGAAGCAAAUUGGAGACUCCACAGGAGGAAGAAAGAGCAAUUAACGGUG